UACGGAGGGAGCUAGCGUUAUUCGGAAUUACUGGGCGUAAAGCGCACGUAGGCGGCUUUGUAAGUUAGAGGUGAAAGCCUUGAGCUCAACUCCAGAAUUGCCUUUAAGACUGCAUCGCUCGAAUCCGGGAGAGGGGAGUGGAAUUCCGAGUGUAGAGGUGAAAUUCGUAGAUAUUCGGAAGAACACCAGUGGCGAAGGCGGCUCCCUGGACCGACACUGACGCUGAGGUGCGAAAGCGUGGGGAGCAAACAGG
rnacentral:rRNA from 1 species